GGUGUCGCCGACUCCUCCGCCACGUCAUCCAUAGUCCGUGAAGAUUGGCACGGUAUCGCAACUUCUUUCCGGAGGUAUUGCCGGAGCUUUUAGCAAAACAUGUACGGCUUCUCUCGCACGUCUCAAUAUUCUGUUUCAGUUGGCUUUGGAGGUGGUCUUGAACUCCAGUAAGAGCACGACGCAUAAAGCUAGACUUAUGCGAACGAGUACGGAAACAACAAAGAAGCCUGCAAUCUUCCAAGAACAAUAUGUUGCACCAAAAGGUAAGGAUGAGCUAAAGUAAAUGGGCAUGUUUAACUUUUUAUUGAUUGGGAGCUACAAAGGGACAUGCUUUUAUACGUAGACAUGCAUUUUGUACACACAUCUAUGGCUGGUACAAGACCGACUAUUA
rnacentral:lncRNA from 1 species